rnacentral:rRNA from 1 species
UUGACCUCGGAUCAGGUAGGAAUACCCGCUGAACUUAAGCAUAUCAAUAAGCGGAGGAAAAGAAACCAACAGGGAUUGCCUCAGUAACGGCGAGUGAAGCGGCAACAGCUCAAAUUUGAAAGCUGGCCUUCUGGCCCGCAUUGUAAUUUGUAGAGGAUGCUUUUGGUGCGGUACCUUCCGAGUUCCUUGGAACAGGACGCCUUAGAGGGUGAGAGCCCCGUACGGUUGGAUGCCUAGCCUCUGUAAAGCUCCUUCGACGAGUCGAGUAGUUUGGGAAUGCUGCUCUAAAUGGGAGGUAAAUUUCUUCUAAAGCUAAAUAUUGGCCAGAGACCGAUAGCGCACAAGUAGAGUGAUCGAAAGAUGAAAAGCACUUUGAAAAGAGGGUUAAAUAGCACGUGAAAUUGUUGAAAGGGAAGGAUUUAUCACCAGACCUUUGCCUGGCGGAUCAUCCGGUGUUCUCACCGGUGCACUUCGCCAGGUUGAGGCCAGCAUCGGUUUCGGCCGGGGGAUAAAGGCUUCGGGAAUGUGACUCGCUCCGGCGAGUGUUAUAGCCCGUCGCGUAAUACCCUGGCCGGGACCGAGGUUCGCGCUCUGCAAGGAUGCUGGCAUAAUGGUGAUCAAUCACCC